rnacentral:rRNA from 1 species
GAUGAACGCUAGCUACAGGCUUAACACAUGUAAGUCGAGGGGUAACGAGAGGAAAGCUUGCUUUCCUUGUCGACGACCGGCGCACGGGUGAGUAACGCGUAUCCAACCUGCCCCCAACUAGGGAAUAACCUUGCGAAAGUAAGACUAAUACCCUAUAAUUUCCUCAGAUGUCAUCUGACGAGGAAUAAAGAUUUAUCGGUUGUGGAUGGGGAUGCGUCUGAUUAUCUUGUUGGCGGGGUAACGGCCAACCAAGGCAACGAUCAGUAGGGGUUCUGAGAGGAAGGGCCCCCACAUUGGAACUGGGACACGGUCGAAACUCCUACGGGAGGAAGCAGUGAGGAAUAGUGGUCAAUGGGCGGAAGCCUGAACCAGCCAAGUAGCGUGCAGGAUGACGGCCCUAUGGGUUGUAAACUGCUUUUUUACAGGAAUAAAGUUAGCCACGUGUGGUUAUUUGUAGGUACUGUAUGAAUAAGGACCGGCUAAUUCCGUGCCAGCCGCCGCCGUAA